GAGGGUAUAGCUUAGUCGUGGAGUGUGUGCCUAGAAUGCACAAGGUCCUGAGUUCAAUCCCCAGUACCUCCA
rnacentral:tRNA from 1 species